UACGUAGGGUGCGAGCGUGUCCGGAAUUAUUGGGCGAAAGGGCUCGUAGGCGGUUUGUCGCGUCGGGAGUGAAAUCCACUGGCUUAACUGGUGGCUUGCUUUCGAUACGGGCAGACUGGAGGUAUGCAGGGGAGAACGGAAUUCCUGGUGUAGCGGUGAAAUGCGCAGAUAUCAGGAGGAACACCGGUGGCGAAGGCGGUUCUCUGGGCAUGUCCUGACGCUGAGGAGCGAAAGUGUGGGGAGCGAACAGGAUU
rnacentral:rRNA from 1 species